rnacentral:lncRNA from 1 species
AUGGUACUAUUGUCAAAGUCGAGGGCUCGUGGUGGUAUCUGGCAAGGAAAGACCCAUCCUAUGCUUCACUUCAGUGUGACUAUGGACAAGUCAUCUGGCCUGUGUUCCCCAGGAAAGUCACCUUAUCAAGAGAAACCUGAACAUGUGCUGAUACACUCUCCCAAACUGGAUCUGAAGUCAGCCAGCCUGCACUUUGCCUGUAAUUUUGAGCACUCAUUAUCAUCCUAUCAGAGUUUCUGCAUGUCUGAAGAGGAGAAGUUGAGGCAACUGUGCAAAGGGGCAGCAAAGAGCAGAACCAGGUGAGGAGACUGUCCUGGUUUCAGUUAGGACAGAGUUAAUUUUCCUCCUAGUAGCUGGUAGGGUGCUAUGUUUUGGAUUAGGAUGAGAAGAGUGCUGAUAACAUGCUGAUGUUUUAAUUGUUGCAGAGCAGUGCUUACACCAAGCCAAGGACGUUUCAGCUUCUCACUCUGUCCUGCCAGUGGGCAGGCUGAGGGUGCAGCAAGAGCUGGGAGGGGAUAAAACCAGGACAGCUGACCCAAACUGGCCAAAGGGGUAUUCCAUCCCAUAUGAGAUCAUGUUGAACAAUAUAUAGGGGUGGCUAGCCAGGGUUGGGAGGCCAGCUGCUCGGGGUUAGGCUGGGCAUUGGUCAGUGGGUGGUGAGCAAUUGCAUUGGGCAUCACUUGUUUCGUACACAUUAUUAGUAGUAGUACUAUUAUCAUCAUUAUUGUUAUUAUUGUUAUUACUAUUUUCCUGUCUUAAUGAACUGUCUUUAUCUCAACUCACAGGCUUUACUUUCCCAUUUCUCUCCCCCAUCCCAGAGAGGGAGGGGGGAGGGUGAGCAAACAGCUGUGUGGUGUUUAGCAGCCAGCCAGGUUAAACCACAACAGAGACAAAGUGAGAUGUCAGGUGGGAAUGUUGGAGGUAGCAUUUUCAUGACCAGCUCUGGAAGGAUUUUCAGACAACUUAGCUUAAGUGCCUAAAAGCUUUGCUGAACUGUGUCAAGGAGAAAAAUCAGUAAAGAAUGUGUUAAUAGAGAGAAAAUGCCUGAGCAGUGUAGUGUGACCACACUAUGGCUCUGUUGCUGGGUCAGGAGGGUGUCUACAUGAAAUUUCCUAUUAUAGAUUGCCAGGCUGGAAUGACAAUUUGUUUGUAAAUUAUGUUUUCAUGCCAGAUUAAGCCAGACUGAAGCACUCUGAUACAAAUUGUGAAGAAUAGUCUUGUAAUACCUCCAAUUCAGCACUGGCAAUCCCAACGGCUGCAAAUCUGUGACUCGACAUUGUCAAUACUGGUUUAAACACAAUCAAAUAAAAAUACAGAAACUGACUUGCCUUUUUGUGUG